rnacentral:rRNA from 1 species
GAGGAAAAGANACCAACAGGGAUUGCCCUAGUAACGGCGAGUGAAGCGGCAACAGCUCAAAUUUGAAAUCUGGCGCAAGCCCGAGUUGUAAUUUGUAGAGGAUGCUUCUGGGUAGCGACCGAUCUAAGUUCCUUGGAACAGGACGUCAUAGAGGGUGAGAAUCCCGUAUGUGACCGGCCCGCACCCUUUACGUAGCUCCUUCGACGAGUCGAGUUGUUUGGGAAUGCAGCUCUAAAUGGGAGGUAAAUUUCUUCUAAAGCUAAAUACCGGCCAGAGACCGAUAGCGCACAAGUAGAGUGAUCGAAAGAUGAAAAGUACUUUGGAAAGAGAGUUAAAAAGCACGUGAAAUUGUUGAAAGGGAAGCGCCUGCAACCAGACUUCGUGGCAGUGUUCCGCCGGUCUUCUGACCGGUUCAUUCUCUGUCGCGAGGCCAUCAUCGUCUGGGCCCGCCGGAUAAGACCUGAGGAAUGUGGCUCCCCCUCGGGGGAGUGUUAUAGCCUCUGGUGAUGCGGCGANGCUCGGGCGAGGUCCGCGCUUCGGCAAGGAUGAUGGCGUANUGG